GUGCCUGGCAUGAGUUUUAAGCCUCUGGGUCCGGAAUUCAAACUGUGGUUGACCACAUGGGAGUCUAGCAAUGUAACCAUUACACCAUCUGCUGGUCCCCAGCUCACAUAAUUAAAGUGUGCAUAUCAGUGGCUAUUAGUGUGUUUGUAGGUUUGUGUAACUUUCACCAUAGAACAUUUUUAUUACCAAGAAGAAACCUGUACCCAUUGGCAGUUACUCCCCACGGGAAUGACUCCCACUGACAUAGUUCCCCAGCCCUCUCUCUGUCCUGCCUCAACCUUGCCUUCUUUUUUCUGCUCACCUUCAAGGUCUUAGGGGCCUCUCCAGAGGCGGUCCCCAACUUCAGAACUAGUGUUCUGCAGUGCUGCCGUGAAGAGAUCUCAGCUUACUCUGGGGUUGGAUUGUGAAGUCAGCACUUAGGAUAAAAUGGAAUGUAAUCAAAAUUCCUCUUGAAAAUCCCAAGGAAGGUGCACUGAAGACCAGCAUCAGGAGGUCUGUGCAGUUGGUUCCUGCCCGUGUGAGAAGAUUGUUGUUUCUUCGGUUGAGCACCAGGUGAAGCGGUUGGCCUGCAGUUAGGGCCACAGGGUCCAAAAGCUAUCUAACCUUAGGUGUUAGAACCACUCUGAGGUGCGGUGCUCACUUUUGAGGUGCUCAGAACUGAGACAGGCCGCAGGAGAGAGAGGCAUGAGCUGGCCACGCCCACCCUGGCUCACUGAGCGUAGGAGGGGCAGGUGGAAUGGCCCAGAUGAUUUCCAGUUAUUUUUCCUCGUACUUUUUUUUUGGGGGGGAGAAGACUGUGUUUAAAUGAAAUGUGCUUAUAAUGCUGAAUCACUGUACCCCUACCCCAGCACACCUGUACACUGCACUGUUAUUUCCUGUUUUUACUUUGUCUCUUUAGACUGUGCGCUCUAUGAGGGCAAGGACCAUGUCUGGUUUGUUCAGCCAGUUCCUCAGUGCCUGCUACCAUGCCUGGCACCUACCUAGCAGGCCCUCCAAAACAUAAUGGAUUUGCGAAGCCCCGUUGUCUAAGGCUCUGGGCCCUCUUCCAGGCUGGUCCUUGUUUUUCUGCCAUGUACAUACAACAGUUUAUUUUCAUGUUUGAUUUUCCUUUUUAGCCUGUGAGCUCCCGACGAGCAGGCAUCUUCGUGUUAUCUCUAUACCUUUCCGCCAGGCCAGCUCAGAGUGGAUACAGGAUGAGUCAACCUUCUAGAUCUACAGAGAUGCAGAAAUGGCCCUGCUCCCUACCCAGUAUCCAGCCGUCGAUUUGCCUGGCCUCCUGAAGUACCCUGAAGUCGACACUCCAAAGGCGAAGUCUUGUUACCUCAAGAAAUCUCAAGUGAUCCACAGUCUUGGGUUCCAGCCCUGCCCUACCAAGGAUCUGCUCUGUGACUUUGGGUGACUCUUCCGCCCUCUUGGCCAGUGCUGGGAAGAGAGUCCUCUUGUGGCUCUUUACUAAAUACCCUGGGAACUCUGAAUGAAUUAGGGGCAGGAGGACAGUCACUGAGCUCCAGAGUGGUGGGAAGUCAGGCUGGGGCCGGUCCCGACCCAGCCUGGGACAAGAUUAAGCAAACCUAGAAUGGCCUUCAUCGUGAUCUGGCAGGAAAGUCAUCAGACCUGGAACCUCUUUGGCUUCUCUGCUGGGUGGUUAUACAGCGUGAAAAAUGGUGACUUGUGAUCUCAACUCAGCCGUGUAAGAUCUAGUCCUAAGUGUUGUCAGACCAAAGCAGACAAUGCAAAAAUGUUGGAAGUAUCAUCAGAUCUUUACACCAAGCAGGCUUUCAGUGUGAGAAACAAAAUAAAAUUGAUUUUCAUCUAGUCACUUA